CCUACGGGGGGCAGCAGUGGGGAAUAUUGCGCAAUGGGCGAAAGCCUGACGCAGCGACGCCGCGUGCGGGAUGAAGGUCUUCGGAUUGUAAACCUCUGUCAGCAGGGAAGAACGGUCACUGUGCUAAUCAGCAGUGAAUUGACGGUACCAGCAAAGGAAGCACCGGCGAACUCCGUGCCAGCAGCUGCGGUAAUACGGAGGGUGGGAGCGUUAAUCGGAAUUACUGGGCGGAAAGCGCUCGUAGGCGGUAUGUCAAGUCAAGGGUGAAAUCCCCGCGCUCAACGUGGGAACUGCCUUUGAGACUGGCGAACUGGAGUGUGGGUGAGGAAAGUGGAAUUCCAGGUGUAGGGGUGAAAUCCGUAGAUAUCUGGAGGAACAUCAGUGGCGAAGGCGACUAUCUGGCACAUAACUGACGCUGAGGAGCGAAAGCGUGGGUAGCAAACAGGAUUAGAUACCCGUGUAGUC
rnacentral:rRNA from 1 species